GAUGAACGCUGGCGGCAUGCCUAAUACAUGCAAGUCGAACGAAGCGGGGACGGGUGAGUAACAUGUGGAUAACCUCCUAUAAGACUGGGAUAACUUCGGGAAACCGGUGCUAAAACGGCAACUGAUACAUGGAUCCAGGCGGCAUUAGCUAGUUGGUAAGGUAACGGCUUACAAAGGCAACGAUCCAUAGCAGAGCUGAGAGGAUGACCGGCCACACUGGAACUGAGACACGGUCCAGACUCCUACGGGAGGCAGCAGUAGGGAAUAUUCCGAAAUGGGCGAAAGCCUGACGGAGCAACGCCGCGUGAGUGAGGAAGGUCUUCGGAUUGUAAAACUCUGUUAGUAGGGAAGCGUUACCUAAUCAGGAAGCCACGGCUAACUACGUGCCAGCAGCCGCGGUAAUAC
rnacentral:rRNA from 1 species